CCUUAUCAAGAGAGGUGGAGGGACUGGCCCUAUGAAACCCAGCAACCGGUCAUUAUGACAAAGGUGCUAAUUCCUACAGAUGUAUUCUGGAAGAUAAGA
rnacentral:ncRNA from 1 species